AUGUCCCUGCUGACAAGAAGCGCAGAUCUCAAAGCUCGAGGCUCAAGCCUUUCAGCAGGGGGAAUGGAGGAGGAGGUCGUGUUGGUGUCUACAGCGGAGGUGCCGUGUAGCCACAUGUGGCCUGUCGCUACUGCAUUGGAGAGUGCAACUCUAAUAGAAAUAGAACACGUUGUGGAAGACAUCCUUAGUAAUGACAGAUGAUAUCGCAAAAAAAAAAAGAAGACCAAAAGGGCAAGUGAUGCUUUAGGUAGGGCGGGUCAGGCUGGGAAGACCUCAGCGAGGACUGAGGGAAGUGAGCCAUCAGGGCAAGGAAGGAUUGAGUCGUGCAGGCACAGUGAGCAAGCUUGGCCUAUUCGAAGAGCUCCAGGGAGACCGAACGGCUGCACCAAAGAGCAUCUAAGGACAUUUUAUCUGUCGAAGUUCUGGGGCCGCCCCUUCAGUGCAUCGUUGUGGAGGUUUGUAAUGAAGUGUGCCAGGCUCUCAGGAGGGACUGCGCCGAGGAGGUAACCUGAGGAGUGCUGGUGAGCCACAGAAUUCCCGCAUGGCUGAAAUGGCUUUGGGCAGGUGGGAAUAAAGUGGCUUUACUGUUGCAGUUGUAAAAUAUUUUUUUUAAUGUUCAUUUAUUGGGCAGGGGGAGGGGCAGAGAGAGAGGGAGGGAGGGAAUCUGUGCCGUCAGGGCAGAGCCCCACGUGGGGCUCAAUCUCAUCAACUGAGCCAAAAUCAAGAGUUAGGUCCUUGGGGCACCUGGGUGGCUCAGUCGGUUGAGCGACUGACUUCGGCUCAGGUCAUGAUCUCACGGUUUGUGAGUUCGAGCCCCGCGUCGGGCUCUGUGCUGACAGCUUGGAGCCUGCUUCUGAUUCUGUGUCUCCCUCUCUCUCUGCCCCUCCCCCACUCAUGCUCUGUCUCUGUCUCAGAAAUAAACAUUAAAAAAAAUUUAAAAA